AGUGAACGCUGGCGGUAGGCCUAACACAUGCAAGUCGAACGGCAGCACAGUAAGAGCUUGCUCUUACGGGUGGCGAGUGGCGGACGGGUGAGGAAUACAUCGGAAUCUACUUUUUCGUGGGGGAUAACGUAGGGAAACUUACGCUAAUACCGCAUACGACCUACGGGUGAAAGCAGGGGAUCUUCGGACCUUGCGCGAUUGAAUGAGCCGAUGUCGGAUUAGCUAGUUGGCGGGGUAAAGGCCCACCAAGGCGACGAUCCGUAGCUGGUCUGAGAGGAUGAUCAUCCACACUGGAACUGAGACACGGUCCAGACUCCUACGGGAGGCAGCAGUGGGGAAUAUUGGACAAUGGGCGCAAGCCUGAUCCAGCCAUACCGCGUGGGUGAAGAAGGCCUUCGGGUUGUAAAGCCCUUUGUUGGGAAAGAAAAGCAGCAGGUUAAUACCCCGCUGUUCUGACGGUACCCAAAGAAUAAGCACCGGCUAACUUCGUG
rnacentral:rRNA from 1 species